UACGUGGGGGGGCUAGCGUUGUCCGGAUUUAUUGGGCGUAAAGAGCGUGUAGGCGGCCAGGUAGGUCUGGUGUGAAAACUCGAGGCUUAACCUCGAGAUGUCAUCGGAAACCAUCUGGCUAGAGUCCGGAAGAGGAGAGUGGAAUUCCUGGUGUAGCGGUGGAAUGCGCAGAUAUCAGGAGGAACACCAACGGCGAAGGCAGCUCGCUGGGACGGUACUGACGCUGAGGCGCGAAAGCGUGGGGAGCGAACAGG
rnacentral:rRNA from 1 species